UAUAGGGGGAGGGUUGAGAUCUCACAAACAUGUUUAAUCCCGCCGCAUUUUUGCGCCUGUCCCAAGUCAGAAGCCUCUGGCCUUUGUUAGUCUUGUAUUAUUUUAAUUUUAGUUUCUUGUGUACAAUUUGGAAAUUAGUAUGGCGUUCAUUAUCACUGAACUAGUAUAUAUUUGUUUAGGGGCCAGCUGAAGGACGCCUCCGGGUGCGGGAAUUUCUCGCUACAUUGAAGACCUAUUGGUGACCUUCUGCUGUUGUUUUUUCUAUGGUCGGGUUGUUGUCUCUUUGACACAUUCCCCUUUUCCAUUCUCAAUUUUAAAUAAGGCCCGAG
rnacentral:lncRNA from 1 species